AUGGGCCUCUAUUGGCUUAUACGACGGAUGGGCGGUGACAGUAAACUCAAGGACUACCCCGGGUGGAGGACACUCUGGUUACGCCACUGAACCCAAGAGAGCCACCAGCCAUGCAACAUUGUAAGACACAUGCGAAAAACAGGAAUUCCGGAGUUUAAGUUUCAGUGGACAGGAAGGCGAUGUUGAGCAACAUUGCUGUGGGAUGCAUAUAUCAGGGCUCAGUGACCCCUUGCAUUCCUGAUAUGUCCCCAGUCACUUUGAACAAGGCUUACCACUAAACCAGAAAAUUAGACAAACGUUUGUUUAUUCAUUGUCAAAAGAGCUUCGUCGUCGACCUCUGGACACACUCACCUCACUCAAGGAAUUGAUCCUAAUCUCAGACGAAGAUAACAAAAUAUAUCUUAAGAUAACCAAACACAGAAACGAACGCAAUAACAAAAAGCUCAGCCAUGGCCGUUGUUGUUGAUUGUCAAGUUGGAGAAACCCCAGAGAUUCUUUUUGAGAGCCUCAAUGAUUCUCUCGGAUGGGAAAUGACUGAAUCGAUCGAUGACAUAUUUGUCUUUACACUGGAACUAACUAAAAAAGCCGGAAAGGUAAAAAAACGUCACUUUAUAUAAACGUAU